rnacentral:rRNA from 1 species
UGGGGAAUUUUGGACAAUGGGCGCAAGCCUGAUCCAGCAAUGCCGCGUGCAGGAUGAAGGCCUUCGGGUUGUAAACUGCUUUUGUACGGAACGAAAAGCCUCUCUCUAAUACAGGGGGGUGAUGACGGUACCGUAAGAAUAAGCACCGGCUAACUACGUGCCAGCAGCCGCGGUAAUACGUAGGGCGCAAGCGUUAAUCGGAAUUACUGGGCGUAAAGCGUGCGCAGGCGGUUUUGUAAGACAGUGGUGAAAUCCCCGGGCUCAACCUGGGAACUGCCAUUGUGACUGCGAGGCUGGAGUGCGGCAGAGGGGGGAUGGAAUUCCGCGUGUAGCAGUGAAAUGCGUAGAUAUGCGGAGGAACACCGAUGGCGAAGGCAAUCCCCUGGGCCUGCACUGACGCUCAUGCACGAAAGCGUGGGGAGCAAACAGGAUUAGAUACCCUGGUAGUCCACGCCCUAAACGAUGUCAACUGGUUGUUGGGGAUUUAUUUCUUCAGUAACGAAGCU